CGAUAGCUCAUUUGGUAGAGCUUGAAACUCUGAAUUUCAGGGUCAUGGGUAUGAAUGAGUCCCAUGUUGAGGA